rnacentral:rRNA from 1 species
UCGCCUGCACGAAGUCGGAAUUGCUAGUAAUCGUAGGUCAGCAUACUACGGUGAAUACGUUCCCGGGCCUUGUACACACCGCCCGUCAAACCAUGAGAGUUGGCAACACCCGAAGUCGGUAGUCUAACCGCAAGGAGGACGCCGCCGAAGGUGGGGUCGAUGAUUAGGGUUAAGUCGUAACAAGGUACC